CGCACAUUGCGCCCUUUGGUAUUCCAAAGGGCAUGCCUGUUCGAGCGUCAUUUGUACCCUCAAGCUUUGCUUGGUGUUGGGCGUCUUGUCUUUUGGCUCUUUGCCCAAAGACUCGCCUUAAAACGAUUGGCAGCCGGCCUACUGGUUUCGCAGCGCAGCACAUUUUUGCGCUUGCAAUCAGCAAAAGAGGACGGCACUCCAUCAAGACUCCUUCUCACGUUUGACCUCGGAUCAGGUAGGGAUACCCGCUGAACUUAA
rnacentral:misc_RNA from 1 species